rnacentral:lncRNA from 1 species
CGCCAGCUGCGCCGUGCACCUGGGCCCGGAGGUUGCAUCAUGCCGGGCCGAGCCGGAGCCUCUGCCGCCGGCGGCUGCGCGCGCAACCCCCUGCCCGGCCUUUGGCACCCAAUUAGCCGCGCCGAGGUUUGCUUUUCCGAUUCCCCACCCGGACCCGUUAUCGCAGGUAAUUGCAGGGAGCGGCAGGUCAGAUGGGAGCCGUGCAAGGGAAAAGGAGGAAAAAAAAAAGAAAAAGCAAAUUGCUCCCGGUUUGCCGAUUCCUGCACGUGGCGCCCGGUGCCUCUUCGACCCGCCUUUGCACGGAAAUUUGGGGAAGGAGGAAGGUCUGCGCUCCUGCGGAGCGCCGGCACGCUGGGAGAGACCCAUCCCCCCCCGUGCUGGGGUCCCUGUCGCACCAGGGUUGCCAUUGCACUGGGGUCCAUGUUGCACCACGGUGCUGGUCCCCAUUGCACCGGGGUCCCUGUUGCACUGGGGUCCCUGUCCCUAUUGCACUACGGUCCCCGUUGCACCGCGGUCCCCGUUGCACUGGGGUCCCUGUUGCACCAGGGUCCCCAUUGCACUGGGGUUGUUGUCCCCAUUGCACCGGGGUCCCUGUUGCACCGUGGUCCCCGUCCCCGUUGCACUGGUGUCCUCAUCCCCAUUGCACCAGGGUCCCCGUUGCACUGGGGUCUCCGUCCCCAUUGCACUGGUGUCCCCAUUGCACCGUGGUCCCCAUCCUCAUUGCACUGGCGUCCUCGUCCCCAUUGCACCAGGAUCCCCGUUGCACUGUGGUCCCCGUCCCCAUUGCACUGGUGUCCCCAUUGCACCGUGGUCCCCAUCCUCAUUGCACUGGCAUCCUCGUCCCCAUUGCACUGGGGUCCCUGUUGCACCGUGGUCCCCGUCCCCAUUGCACUGGCAUCCUCAUCCCCAUUGCACUGGGGUCCCCGUUGCACCGUGGUCCCCGUCCCCAUUGCACCGGGGUCCCCGUUGCACCGUGGUCCCCGUCCCCAUUGCAUUGGCGUCCUCAUCCCCAUUGCACCAGGAUCCCCGUUGCACUGUGGUCCCCGUCCCCAUUGCACUGGCGUCCCUGUUGCACCACGGUACCCGUCCCCAUCCCCAUUGCACCAGGGUCCCCACUGCACCAGGGUCCUCGUCCCCGUUGCA